rnacentral:tRNA from 1 species
UCCCUGGUGGCUCAGAUGGUAAAGAAUCUGUCUACAAUGCAGGAGAUCCAGGUUCAACCCCUGGGUUGGGAA